rnacentral:rRNA from 1 species
GGCAGCAUGGUCUUAGCUUGCUAAGGCCGAUGGCGACCGGCGCACGGGUGAGUAACACGUAUCCCACCUGCCGUCUACUCUUGGACAGCCUUCUGAAAGGAAGAUUAAUAUAAGAUGGCAUCAUGAGUUCACAUGUUCACAUGAUUAAAGGUAUUCCGGUAGACGAUGGGGAUGCGUUCCAUUAGAUAGUAGGCGGGGUAACGGCCCACCUAGUCUUCGAUGGAUAGGGGUUCUGAGAGGAAGGUCCCCCACAUUGGAACUGAGACACGGUCCAAACUCCUACGGGAGGCAGCAGUGAGGAAUAUUGGUCAAUGGGCGAGAGCCUGAACCAGCCAAGUAGCGUGAAGGAUGACUGCCCUAUGGGUUGUAAACUUCUUUUAUAAAGGAAUAAAGUCGGGUAUGGAUACCCGUUUGCAUGUACUUUAUGAAUAAGGAUCGGCUAACUCCGUGCCAGCAGCCGCGGUAAUACGGAGGAUCCGAGCGUUAUCCGGAUUUAUUGGGUUUAAAGGGAGCGUAGAUGGAUGUUUAAGUCAGUUGUGAAAGUUUGCGGCUCAACCGUAAAAUUGCAGUUGAUACUGGAUAUCUUGAGUGCAGUUGAGGCAGGCGGAAUUCGUGGUGUAGCGGUGAAAUGCUUAGAUAUCACGAAGAACUCCGAUUG